UGGUGAACUUCAGCGACGUGCAGG
rnacentral:piRNA from 1 species